rnacentral:rRNA from 1 species
UACAGAGGUCUCAAGCGUUGUUCGGAUUCAUUGGGCGUAAAGAGUGUGUAGGCGGUGCUCUAAGUUCGGUGUGAAAUCUCCCGGCUUAACUGGGAGGGUGCGCCGGAAACUGGAGUGCUCGAACGUGGGAGAGGAAAGCGGAAUUCCUGGUGUAGCGGUGAAAUGCGUAGAUAUCAGGAGGAACACCUGCGGUGUAGACGGCUUUCUGGACCAUUGUUGACGCUGAGACACGAAAGCGUGGGUAGCAAACAGG